GAUGUCAAGACGGCCGCCACACACGCCCAAAGACA
rnacentral:tRNA from 1 species